GGGCACGCCGCUGCACGCCCGAGUUACAUGGCCCAGUUUGUCUUACACCGUUAGGUGUUGCCCCUGCCUGUGGGUUAUGUUUCUGUGAGAAACCGUGCGGCGGUGCGCCCGUGCGCAAAGUCAGGACCUCUCUAAGGAGUUAAAAAUGUGACUCAGUGCCAGCUUAAGCAGCUCCAGUAUCUUCUGGCAUCUCAUUCGCACCACUUGGGGAACCCAGAAGCCUAUCUGGGAAGUAAUCUGAGUUGGAAACAGUACACCAAGAAAAAAACAGUUGCUUUUAACCUGGAUCAACCUGGCCCUCUGCACCAUCACACAGAGAAGUUAGGUCUCUCCAUGCACAACGGAGCCAGGAGGAGCCAAAAACUGGGGAACCCUGAAUGCGCAUACCACAACCUGUUUGCUGUCAUACAAACACACUUUGCAAAAGAUUCCUGCUGUAAAGCAAGGUCUUGGGGAAGGACAGAACAAAUAUGGGAGUUGAACUAAGCCAUUGAUGGAUAACUAAUAAAUGCUGUUUGAGAAAGUUCA
rnacentral:lncRNA from 1 species